AGACCUGGCCGACGCAGGUCAAAGUGUAGUAUAUCUGUUCUGAUCAGCUCAAUUUCUGAUACGGGUUGUCUUUAGACCUAAGAUUAAAUUUAUUUUUGCAAGUUGGCAGAGUGCUUAAAGCCAGCCUCACCUCCACCGCGGGUCGGCCUGGUAUUGCACUAUCUUCAGGAUCGGCCUACAUAUG